rnacentral:lncRNA from 1 species
CUUCGGAGGAGUUAGCGAAAUUCCAAUGUGUGCGUAUCGGCAAAAAAUGCGGAAUAACCCUUUAACUGUACAUUUGACAGAUACGCGCGCUUGGACUUUUUUGUAGAUCUUAUUGAGUUACAUGUGUGUGUCAAUUUUUGUGUCAUUUUGACAAAGCGUAUAGGCGUGACACUCAACAAUGUGUAUUUUCACCUUAGGGGACAAGAAAAAAUGGACUUUUUUCUCCUGCCAUGGGGGGGCGCUCUUUUGGGGAGUAAAAAUUCCUUCACAAAUGUGUUGAUGGCUGGACAUUGCAUCAUCCUAGAAAACUUGGAGGCCAGUGAGGACAAAAAUAAAAAGUUAUAAGACUUUUAAAUAUGUGGAUUUUAGUGUUAUCUUUGGCGCCCCCUAGAACCUAAACCUUGGGGUGCAGCGUCAUGAUUUUGAUAACUUUUAAUGGCCACGGGGUGUAGAUUGGCCUGAGCAAAUGUGGUGCCGGUGGAACGAAAGCCUUCGGAGGAGUUAGCGAAAUUCCAAUGUGUGCGGAUCGGCAAAAAAUGCGAAAUAACCCUUUAACCGUAAUUUUGACAGAUACGGCCGCACUGACUUUUUUGUAGAUCUUAUUGAGAUACAUAUGUGUGUCAAUUUUUGUGUCAAUAUGACAAAGCGUACAGGCGUGACAGUCAAUAGUGUGAAUUUCCACCUUAGGGGGCGCUAUGGAGCCAUUUUGAAUUUUAUUGUUUGGGCGACUUCAGAAUAUCGAAUUUUUCACCAGGCCCGGUCGUCCUGCCAAAUUUCAUGAGUUUUCGCCAGUGGGAAGUGGGCCAUUUUCCAGUUCAAAGGGGAGGAAAAAGAAGAAACUAGGGCCCCGUUGGGGCACUGGCGGGCCCGAGCCGUGUCACGCCGCCCCCAGCGCGACCGCCUCCCCCACCCGAUCGCGUCACACUCAAGGUCCAAAGAUGGUGUGCGCACUUGUUUGUGGUCAUUUACCAUUAUAAUGAACGGGAGGCGCAGUUUCUACCAAAACGCUCGCUGCAGAAAAACUCCAUGUCCUAUUUGAAAAAAGUCUGGACCAUGAGUGAGGGCACAAACACAGCUAAGAUAUAUCCAAAUGGCAAGUUGCUCCUCCUUUCGCUUUUGCCGAGAGAGCAGUGCGUUUGAGCCAUUGAAUGAUGAACAGGAAAAACUUGACUUUAUUCUCCUGCCAUGGGGGGCGCUCUUUUAAAGAGAAAAAACUCCUUCACAAAUGUGUUGAUGGCUGGACAUUGCAUCAUCCUAGAAAACAUGGAGGCCAGUGAGGACAAAAAUAAAAAUUUAUAAGACUUUUAAAUAUGUGGAUUUUAGGGUUAUCUUUGGCGCCCCUUAGAACCUAAACCGUGGGGUGCAGCGUCAUGAUUUGAAUAACUUUUAAUGGCCAUGGGGUGUAGAUUGGCCUGAGCAAAUGUGGUGCCGGUGGAACGAAAGCCUUCGGAGAAAUUAGCGAAAUUCCAAUGUGUGCGAAUCUGCAAAAAAUGCGAAAUAACCCUUUAACCGUACAUUUUACAGAUACGUGGCCAUUGACUUUUUCGAAGAUCUUAUUGAAAUACACGUGUAUGUAAAAUUUUGUGUCAAUACGACAAAACAUACAGGCGUAGCACUCAACAAUGUGUAUUUUCACCUUAGUGGACAAGAAAAAAUGGACUUUUUUCUCCUGCCAUGGGGGGGCGCUCUUUUGCCGAGUAAAAAUUCCUUCACAAAUGUGUUGAUGGCUGGACAUUGCAUCAUCCUAGAAAACUUGGAGGCCAGUGGGGACAAAAAUAAAAAGUUAUAAGACUUUUAAAUAUGUGGAUUUUACGGUUAUCUUUGGCUCCCCCUAGAACCUAAACCGUGGGGUGCAGCGUCAUGAUUUGAAUAACUUUUAAUGGCCAUGGGGUGUAGAUUGGCCUGAGCAAAUGUGGUGCCGGUGGAACGAAAGCCUUCGGAGGAGUUAGCGAAAUUCCAAUGUGUGCGGAUCGGCAAAAAAUGCGGAAUAACCCUUUAACCGUACAUUUGACAGAUACGCGCGCAUUGACUUUUUCGUAGAUCUUAUUGAGAUACAUGUGUGUGUCAAUUUUUGUGUCAUUUUGCCAAAGCGUACAGGUGUUACACUCAACAAUGUGUAUUUUCACCUUAGGGGACAAGAAAAAAUGGACUUUUUUCUCCUGCCAUGGGGGGCGCUCUUUUGGGGAGUAAAAAUUCCUUCACAAAUGUGUUGAUGGCUGGACAUUGCAUCAUCCUAGAAAACUUGGAGGCCAGUGAGGGCAAAAAUAAAAAGUUAUAAGACUUUUAAAUAUGUGGAUCUUAGGGUUAUCUUUGGCGCCCCCUAGAACCUAAACCGUGGGGUGCAGCGUCAUGAUUUGAAUAACUUUUAAUGGCCAUGGGGUGUAGAUUGGCCUGAGCAAAUGUGGUGCCGGUGGAACGAAAAGCCUUCGGAGGAGUUAGCGAAAUUCCAAUGUGUGCGGAUCGGCAAAAAAUGCGGAAUAACCCUUUAACCGUACAUUUGACAGAUACGCGCGCAUUGACUUUUUUGUAGAUCUUAUUGAGAUACAUGUGUGUGUCAAUUUUUGUGUCAUUUUGCCAAAGCGUACAGGUGUUACACUCAACAAUGUGUAUUUUCACCUUAGGGGACAAGAAAAAAUGGACUUUUUUCUCCUGCCAUGGGGGGGCGCUCUUUUGGGGAGUAAAAAUUCCUUCACAAAUGUGUUGAUGGCUGGACAUUGCAUCAUCCUAGAAAACUUGGAGGCCAGUGAGGGCAAAAAUAAAAAGUUAUAAGACUUUUAAAUAUGUGGAUCUUAGGGUUAUCUUUGGCGCCCCCUAGAACCUAAACCGUGGGGUGCAGCGUCAUGAUUUGAAUAACUUUUAAUGGCCAUGGGGUGUAGAUUGGCCUGAGCAAAUGUGGUGCCGGUGGAACGAAAGCCUUCGGAGGAGUUAGCGAAAUUCCAAUGUGUGCGGAUCGGCAAAAAAUGCGAAAUAACCCUUUAACCGUACAUUUGACAGAUACGCCCGCACUGACUUUUUUGUAGAUCUUAUUGAGAUACAUGUGUGUGUCAAUUUUUGUGUCAUUUGGACAAAGCGUACCGGCGUGACAGUGAAUAGUGUGAAUUUUCACCUUAGGGGGCGCUAUGGAGCCAUUUUGCAUUUUCUUGUUUGGGCGACUUCGGAAUAUCAAAUUUUUCACCAGGCCCGGUCGUCCUGCCAAAUUUCAUGAGUUUUCGCCAGUGGGAAGUGGGCCAUUUUCCAGUUCAAAGGGGAGGAAAAAUAACUAGGACCCCGUUGGGGCACUGGCGGGCCCGAGCCUUGUCGGAUGGAGCUUUGGAUGGAGCUUCAUGGUUGUCUUUUGGAGAAAUGACCAGUCAAGUUGUGUUUGAAAUUUGAUUUUUUUUUCAGGGGCAAAAGGAGCCUCUGCAUUCUUGUCAAAUAUGUAAAUAGCAUGUUUUUGCAGGUGCUAAAAACCAGACUCUGAGUGUGUGUGUGUGUGUGUGUGUGUGUGUGUGUGUGUGUGUGUGUGUGUGUGUGUGUGCGUGUGUGUGUGUCUGUGUGUGCGUUCAAGUCACAUGACAUAUUUAACCGGAUGUAGCUGCAAGACGGAGCCUCGUUGACUCUCCGUUUCAACUUAUCUCAAAAGUGAGGACCUCAACCUAUAUACCAGUUUUUAAAUUGUGUUGAUAGGCCAAAUAAAACCAGAGUUAUGAUAAAUUAUGUCCGCGAUACUUUUUUUCUGCUUAUUUUGAUCACGUUCGGCGCUCGAUCGCGCUGUAUGAGACAGGAAAACAUAGCAUGCACACAUUAGCGACAGGUCUUACAGGCGGAAAAGGCUUGCCAAAAGAAAAAAAAAACACACCACAACAUCUCUCCUAUUGGUGGAAAACUUCACCACAACAACCAAUCCAAAAUUAUAUGGUGACUGAUUGACAAGGGGAGGGCGCUUACGUUCUUCCUGCAACAUGAGAAGGGAGGGAGGGACUCUCAGCAGGGAUGCAGUCUGGGACACGUAGUUGCAAACCUAGCGACUUUGUUGUUAGAUUCAAUGACUUUUCAGACCCCCUAACGACUUUUUUUUUUAGAAAGAAAGGGACUUUUAUCGACUUCUUCUGGAGUUUAGAGACUCUGACAUGAAGCAGGCUUUCCUUACUGAGGAGUUAGCAACGCUGCUAAGGGUGCAGAGCCACACAUGCGCUCAGAGCUCUGCAUGGGAGACUGAAGCUGACAGAGCUGCAGCAGUUAGCAGGUUUCACCCUCAGAGACCACCAGGGGUUCAUGUUGAGGCAUUUUAAUUUUUUUUUUUUUUUGUGCCAUAGACACUGUCAGCACAAUCUGCAGUUACACUAACAAAAAUGCUGCAAAAAACAAAGAAUUAUGGAAAAAUUACACAUGGACUGACAUAGAGGAGGAUCUACACAAGUUUUUUACAUCAUGUUUUACAUCAUGCAUCAUUUACAUCAUGUUUUUUUGUAGUGGCAUAAAUAAAAAGUGACAUUUGUGAGACUAUACAGUGUUUUGUAAAUAAUUUUGCAAAGAACGCCUGGGCCAUUGCCUGCAUUUUGAUGUAAAUAGAGGUAAAUUACUAUGUUCUUUGUUAAAAAUUUGCAUAUGUUUUGAAGUUUACAAUUUUUAUUUGAAGUUUAAGUUUUAAAAACAGUUCAUCACACAUAUUUGUGGUUUAAUUUCACAUUAAUUUCCAUAUUGUAUAAAUGACUGGAAAAAACUUGAGCCCCUGCCCCUGUAUAAUCAUGUGCACGUCCCUGUUCUAGCUCCAAGGUGAAUCUUCACUGCUCAUGUUCUCCUCAGAAAUAGUCACCUCACUCCCCUCAGGUUACUGUACACAUGCACCAACUAUCUGCUUCAGGUUUGAAAUGGAGCUUCAUGGUUGUCUUUUGGAGAAAUGAACAGUCAAGUUGUGUUUGAAAUUUGAUUUUUUUCAGGGGCAAAAGGAAGCCUCUGCAUUCUUGUCAAAUAUGUAAACAGCAUGUUUUUGCAGGUGCUAAAAAACAGACUCUGAGUGUGUGUGUGUGUCUGUGUGUGUGUGUGUCUGUGUGUGUGUGUAUGUUGGCGUGUGUGUAUAUGUGUGUGUAUCCUGCAGUACUCUGUACUCCUGCAGUGGCCAAAAAAACCUUUUAAGAAUGUGGAUUUUUGGGUCAUCUUUGGCGCCCCCUAGAACUGCAGUACUCUGUACUCCUGCAGUGGCCAAAAUGACUUUUAAGAAUGUGGAUUUUUGGGUCAUCUUUGGCGCCCCCUAGAACGUAAACCGUGGGGUGCAGCGUCAUGAUUUUUACAACUUUGAAUGGGCAUGGGGUGUAGAUUGCCCUGAGCAAAUUUGGUAUCGGUGGGACGAAAGCCUUAGGAGGAGAUAGCCACAUUCCAAUGUGUGCGAAUCGGCAAAAAAUGCAAAAUAGCCCUUUAACCGUACAUUAUAAAGAUACGCGCUCUUUGACUUUUUCGUAGAUCUAAUUGAGAUACACAUGAUUGUCAAUUUUUGUGUCAAUAUGACAAAGCGUUCAGGCGUGACACUCAACAAUGUGUAUUUUCAUGUAAGGGGACAAGAAAAAAUGGACUUUUUUCUCCUACCAUGGGGGGGCGCUCUUUUGGGGAGUAAAAAUUCCUUCACAAAUGUGUUGAUGGCUGGACAUUGCAUCAUCCUAGAGAACUUGGAGGCCAGUGAGGACAAAAAUAAAAAGUUAUAAAACAUUUAAGAAUGUGGAUUUUUGGGUUAUUUUUGGCGCCCCCUAGAACCUAAACCAUGGGGUGCAGCAUCAUGAUUUGAAUAACUUUUAAUGGCCAUGGGGUGUAGAUUGGCCUGAGCAAAUGUGGUGCCGGUGGAACGAAAGCCUUCGGAGGAGUUAGCGAAAUUCCAAUGUGUGCGUAUCGGUAAAAAAUGCGGAAUAACCCUUUAACUGUACAUUUGACAGAUACGCGCGCAUGGACUUUUUUGUAGAUCUUAUUGAGUUACAUGUGUGUGUCAAUUUUUGUGUCAUUUUGACAAAGCGUAUAGGCGUGACACUCAAGAAUGUGUAUUUUCACCUUAGGGGACAAGAAAAAAUGGACUUUUUUCUCCUGCCAUGGGGGGGGCGCUCUUUUGGGGAGUAAAAAUUCCUUCACAAAUGUGUUGAUGGCUGGACAUUGCAUCAUCCUAGAAAACUUGGAGGCUAGUGAGGACAAAAAUAAAAAGUUAUAAGACUUUUAAAUAUGUGGAUUUUAGUGUUAUCUUUGGCGCCCCCUAGAACCUAAACCUUGGGGUGCAGCGUCAUGAUUUUGAUAACUUUUAAUGGCCACGGGGUGUAGAUUGGCCUGAGCAAAUGUGGUGCCGGUGGAACGAAAGCCUUCGGAGGAGUUAGCGAAAUUCCAAUGUGUGCGGAUCGGCAAAAAAUGCGAAAUAACCCUUUGACCGUACAUUUGACAGAUACGGCCGCACUGACUUUUUUGUAGAUCUUAUUGAGAUACAUAUGUGUGUCAAUUUUUGUGUCAAUAUGACAAAGCGUACAGGCGUGACAGUCAAUAGUGUGAAUUUCCACCUUAGGGGGCGCUAUGGAGCCAUUUUGCAUUUUAUUGUUUGGGCGACUUCAGAAUAUCGAAUUUUUCACCAGGCCCGGUCGUCCUGCCAAAUUUCAUGAGUUUUCGCCAGUGGGAAGUGGGCCAUUUUCCAGUUCAAAGGGGAGGAAAAAGAAGAAAGAAAGAAAGAAAGAAAGAAAGAAAGAAAGAAACAAAGAAAAACCACUUGGGGAAUAAUAGGGCCUACGCCCGGCUGCUCUGCAGCUGGCUCGGGCCCUAAUAAUAAUAACAAAAGAAGGAAACUACAGGAACAAGAGGGCUCUCGCAGCUGCUUAGCAGCUACGCUCGGGCCCUAACUAGGACCCCGUUGGGGCACUGGCGGGCCCGAGCCGUGUCGCGUCUCCCCCCCAACGCGCUGCCUCCCCGUCCCAUUUGUGUCCUCUGGCCAUCGCCCUCUCUGUUAACGCCCAUCACUGCAAAGACCCUUUUCCUUCAUCGGCGUUUGCUGUUCUUCCUGCCAGUGCGUGUUGCUUUCACUUACACUUGCCACAGCCAGCCUCGUGAGUGCCUAGCCUAUUGGAUAUCACUGUCACCUACACAGGACAGUCAUUACCUUUCUAUUAAUACUUUGUGUUUUAAUUUCACAUUAAUUUCCAUAUUGUAUAAACGACUGGAAAAAACUUGAGCCCCUGCCCCUGUAUAAUCAUGUGCAUGUCUCUGUUCUAGCUCCAAGGUGAAUCUUCACUGCUCAUGUUCUCCUCAGAAG